rnacentral:lncRNA from 1 species
AUUCUCUAUGUGAUGGAGGGCAAAUAUUUCCAUUUAACUGUGUCUCACAUUGAACUCCUCAUUUGAAAGAGGCACCAGAUUGACUCUUUUUGUUCCAGCGGUUCUCAAAUUCACUUCCUCUGCCGAAGAGGUCUAUAAAUGUCAUCCAGUCAUACCAGGGCUUUAGUGCCUCUCCCUCUCCCUAUGGGAGCCUCAGACACACCACAUCUAGUCAUAAAUAUUUCCUCUUCUCCCUGUGUCUAUUGGGCAACAAAGCCUUCUCGAAUGCCCAUAUUGGACUGAAAUAUUUCCUUUUUUUUUUUCAGUGGUGGACACAUACCUACCCUCUCUUGUAAAGUGUAAAUAGAUCUUGUCUUAUUGACUAUGUGUGCCUGCUAUAUUACAACUGUCUAAGAUUACUUCCAAACUUCUUCCUGUUACAAAUAUUCGGAGACAUUCCUCCAUUCAAGAAAAGUGGCCUUGCUCUUAUGUCAUCUGACUAAAGGUUUCAUAGACCAAAGAUAACCAUCCAACCUGUUGGAAUACUGAAACAAUUGCUGCCUGCUUUCCACACACCACAUAAAAUAUGUGGAUAUCCUAAAUUCUGCAAAAAAGAUUUGUAAGCUGAUCAAGCAAUACUGGGACUCCCUCUUCUCCAGAAGACAGAGACAUCCUGGCCUCCAUGCAGAGGAAUGUGUGGAUGGACAUAUAUUUAAGGAAGACACUAAACCAGAAAAUACUACAUUACACCCUCUUAAAAGACUUCUAAGAUUGUUGUCAUGCCUACCACUGACAUUCAGAUGAUGUGUAUUCUUGAUUGUGAUUUCAUGUUUGGAGCUGAUGAAGGA